rnacentral:rRNA from 1 species
GACGAACGCUGGCGGCGUGCUUAACACAUGCAAGUCGAACGGAAAGGCUCCAGCUUGCUGGAGUACUCGAGUGGCGAACGGGUGAGUAACACGUGGGUGAUCUGCCCUGCACUUCGGGAUAAGCCUGGGAAACUGGGUCUAAUACCGGAUAGGACCUCACGCUGGUUGGUGUGGUGGGAAGGUUUUUCGGGGGUGGGAUGGGCUCCGGGCCUAUCAGUUUGUUGGUGGGGUAAUGGCCUACCAAGACGUCUACGGGUAGGCGGCCUGGGAGGGUGGACGGGCCCAUUGGGACUGGGAUAAGGCCCAGAAUCCUAACGGAGGCAGCAGGGGGGAAUAUUGCACAAUGGGGGAAACGCUGAUGCCGGGAAGCCGCGUGGGGGAUGAAGGCCUUCGGGUUGUAAAAUCCUUUCGCUAGGGACGAAGCUUUUUGUGGCGGUACCUGGAGAAGAAGCACCGGCUAACUACGUG